CAGAGCAUAGCUAAGACAGCAAAGCAUCUCCCUUACACCGAGAAGUCGCCCGUGCAAAUCAGGCUGCCCUGA
rnacentral:tRNA from 2 species